GGGAGGUGCUGAGACAUCGAGGGCGGAAGUGGGUGUGGUCUUCGGUCCGAAGGCCUGGCUGCGGGGAGUGGGUGCGGCGGGAGUUGGGGUGAUCGUUAACAUUUAGACUGGAGCUGUUUCCCUGGAGGUGCGCCCUUGGGAAGGGCCUGACUGUGUGAAGAGUGGACAGCAGUCCUCCGCCCCCUGCUGGGCUCGCGGUAAAGUGGUGGCUCCUGUGUCCCCGCUGUUCCGCCUGUGCACUGGCCGACUUUUUAAAGCCAUGCCCCAAAGUGCUGUCCUCCUGCAAAACCGAGCCCGAAGGGACAGUGCAAAGUGAAGUCAAACUGAGUAUUUACCUGGAGAUGUAGCCUAAGAAAAUAAUCAGAUGCACCCAAAGAGCUUUGCACAAGGAUAUUCAUGGGAGCCCUUAUGGUUUUGAAGCAUAUUUAGUGGUCGGGAAGAGUGCUCAUGAUGCGAAGCUAACUGAACUAUAUAUACAGAAUGAUCCAGACUUUGAAAGGAAAAACUAAAGAAAUACAUCUACAUAUUAAGUAGUGCAUGGAAGCAUUAUUCCUGUUUUAUAAAGGGACGAAGAGGCCAGCGAAGUCACCUAACUUAUCCACGAUCACACAGUCAGCAAGAGUUUGGAGUCCAGUAGUCUGAUUCCAGAGCCUCACUGUAUCUCACUAUGCUCUGCUGCUGCCCGAGGCUGAAGAAGCUGAUGAGUCCUCCAGCAGAGCUCUGCCAGAAGGACUCAGCAGGUUAAGAGUCGCAAUACUGGCAUUCUCUAAUUUAUUAAAACAAGCCUCUGAGUAGCUUAGUGGCUUCUGCCUUCAUAGGUAAGAGAUAAACUUUAUGCAAAAUAACACAAAAAUAAUAAUUUUCUGAGUGAUCGUUUUAAUACUUCCUGGAAUGGGAUUCAGCAUGGGUGAAUUGGCAGUAAGGAUGACCCAGAAACAAUUUCAGAAGGAUGUUAGAGAAUAUUGUACUCUCCCUUUAAUAAACAAGUGGGAGCCAUCCCAGCAGAAGGAAAACCCCUCUAGGUUUCAGUGAGGUAGAGUGGGAGGGGUGGAGGAAAGUGGAAGUGGAUGUGCUUUUAGAAAUCCUUCCACUAGGGGCCGGGCAUGGUGGCUCACUCCUGUAAUCCUAGCACUUUGGGAGGCUUAGGUGGGUGGAUUGCUUGAGGUCAGGAGCUCCAGACCAGCCUGGGCAACAUGGUGAAACCCCGUCUCUACUAAAAAUACAAAAAUUAGCCAGGUGUAGUGGUGUGCGCCUGUAAUCCCAGCUACUCGGGAGGCUGAGGCAGGAGAAUUGCUUGAACUCGGGAGCCAGAGACUGCAGUGAGCUGAUAAUCGUGCCACUGCACUCUAGCCCAGGCGACAGAGCAAGACUCUGUCUCAAAAGAAAAAAAAAAAAAAACUUCCACUAGGCAGCUCUUAAAGUCAGAGGCACUUAAAAUUAUGGGCGCCAGCCAUAGGAGAGCUGGAAAAUGUAUAGAGCAGAAUUACACAUUACACAUGUGUGUGUUGGGCAUACAACAUCUCACAAGGGAAGAUACAAAUCUCCAUUUUCUAAACUGGAAUAUGAAGCCUCUCUCCCCUCCCCAGUGCACCACGGAAUGACAUCAUUGCUCUGCAGCUCCCUCCUUGGUAAAGCUGUUACUCCACUUUCAGGCAAGAGGACUCCCGAAACCUUUUUUGGCCUUUUGACACUUCCUAAGUGGGCUAUUCAGUUUGUGUUCUGUGUUCUU
rnacentral:lncRNA from 1 species